rnacentral:lncRNA from 1 species
AGUCGCGCGAAGCCAGAGAGGACCCUGGGCGUGAUUCUCCCUCCCUGGCACAGACGGAGACCCGAGUGACCCCGGGGUCCGGGUGGGCGUGGGGAAUGGACCCAUAGACCCGGGACGAGCGGCGCGGAGCCCGCAGCUGGCCAGCUUCAGCCACCUUGGGAGACGCAGUGCAGCUGCCGCUGCUGACAGACAAGACCAAGGCUCGGCUGGGCCCCACCCCAGAUCCGGCCUGAGCGCCUUCCGCGCUGCUCGGCCUCAAGGCGUGAGUCACCAAGGGCAAGUCCCGUGACUUGGUCCUCAGGGUCUCCGGCCUCGGCACAUUAAUCUUCAGACCCGGCUUUUUCGACGCCGAGCUGCCGCCCAGCCCCAAUGGCAGGGCCUUCCAGGGAGUCCCAGUCAGACUGCUCCCCAGCUCCCGCAGCUGCUCGGUCCCUGCAAAGCCCCCGGGAGCGUUUCUACUCUCCCCUGAGCCCACGCCAUCCCGUCACUCCUAGGAAACUUUUCGCGCAGAAACUCCUGGAGAACAGCCCCGGCCGCCAGGUACUCGCCCGCCCGGACCGCAAAGCCCACAGAGCUUCAAUUCGCAGGAAGGGGAGUGGGGAGCCCUGAGCUGGGGUGUUCCUGGAAGAGGUCGGGGAGCGGGGGGAGAGGCAUUCCAGGCUGGAGGCCUGGAAACGUUUGGAAGCUUUGCUAACCUUGGAGACCAUGUCAGGAAAGAAGCGUACCCAGGCCGUCUGCUGUGUGCCCACCCCGAUCCCCAUCAGUGCCCCACGCACUCGAGCUCUUCUUCGGCGUCUGCAGCCUCUUCAUCCGCGCGGAGAGGCGGAGGUCUCCCGGAAACAGUGUCCGACUGUGGCACCCCAGAGCGUCCAAUGCGAGCUCAGGCCUUUCCCGCAAGUCUGGAGUUUUCUUAUCCAGUUGAGGCCGCCUUCGCUGUACUCACUCUCUGCCUCCCACCCCAUCUUCUGCCACCCGACCUCCAUCUUUGAUGGUUAGCGCCUUCAGCCCUCAACAGCUUCGCACAACCAACCCCUAGAAGCCGUGGAGUCAGACCGGCCAGGGUGGGACCUAGGUUUUAACUCGGGUUCUGGCUACACACGCUGCGCCUCCAUACAGUUUGUCCCAGGUUUGGCAGCAGGCCGGCUACCUUCAGGAAUUCUUUGCUUUGGCUUCUGUCUGUUCCUGUCUGUUGGGCAAGUUUCUAGCUACCCCACUGAGAGAACCAUAGAACAAGGACCCUGGCAUGGCAUACAGA